rnacentral:misc_RNA from 1 species
AACUGAUACUACCUGCGGGAACCUGCGGAAGGAUCAUUAAAAAAAGGGUCUUUUGACCCAUUUUUUAAAACUCACUACCAUUCUAGCCCAUCGGGUCAGAUGGAAGUGGGUUUUUUCAAACUCCAAAAAUUUUAAACUAUUCGUCUUUUGACGAAACCAAAAAUUAAUAAAAUAAAACUUUUAACAAUGGAUCUCU